GAUUAUGGCUCAGGAUGAACGCUAGCGAUAGGCCUAACACAUGCAAGUCGAGGGGCAGCAUAGAGUAGCAAUACUUGAUGGCGACCGGCGCACGGGUGAGUAACACGUAUGCAACCUACCUACAUCAGGGGAAUAACCCGGAGAAAUUCGGACUAAUACCGCAUAAUACAGGGAUGCCGCAUGGCAAUAUUUGUUAAAGAUUUAUCGGAUGUAGAUGGGCAUGCGUUCCAUUAGCUGGUUGGUAAGGUAACGGCUUACCAAGGCAACGAUGGAUAGGGGAACUGAGAGGUUUGUCCCCCACACUGGAACUGAGACACGGACCAGACUCCUACGGGAGGCAGCAGUGAGGAAUAUUGGUCAAUGGACGAGAGUCUGAACCAGCCAAAUCGCGUGAAAAGGAAGACUGCCCUACGGGUUGUAAACUUCUUUUGUACAGGAAUAAAAGACAUUACGUGUAAUGUAUUGCAUGUACUGUACGAAUAAGCAUCGGCUAACUCCGUGCCAGCCGCCGC
rnacentral:rRNA from 1 species